CUACGGGGGGCACCAGUGGGGAAUAUUGCACAAUGGGCGCAAGCCUGAUGCAGCCAUGCCGCGUGUAUGAAGAAGGCCUUCGGGUUGUAAAGUACUUUCAGCGGGGAGGAAGGGAGUAAAGUUAAUACCUUUGCUCAUUGACGUUACCCGCAGAAGAAGCACCGGCUAACUCCGUGCCAGCAGCCGCGGGUGAAUACGGAGGGUGCAAGCGUUAAUCGGAAUUACUGGGCGUAAAGCGCACGCAGGCGGUUUGUUAAGUCAGAUGUGAAAUCCCCGGGCUCAACCUGGGAACUGCAUCUGAUACUGGUAAGCUUGAGUCUCGUAGAGGGGGGUAGAAUUCCAGGUGUAGCGGUGAAAUGCGUAGAGAUCUGGAGGAAUACCGGUGGCGAAGGCGGCCCCCUGGACGAAGACUGACGCUCAGGUGCGAAAGCGUGGGGAGCAAACAGGAUUAGAUACCCCGGUAGUC
rnacentral:rRNA from 1 species